UGAGGCUUUGGCUGACGACAGCUUUCAGCUGCACCUGAACUAGGCUGGAUUUGUCUCCUGCUCUCCAUAGGCAGAGAAGUGCGUCCAGGCAGUUUGGAGAACUGCUGGCUCAGGCUUCACCUCCACUAAUCCAAGUUCAGUCACUUUCCUCUGAAGAACCUGCAUCAAGCCGUGGUUUUAAGCUGCAGAUGGAGUUCUUCUCGCAGGACUGAAGUGCUGAAGCUCUCUGAGCUCCGAAGGCACCCUGAACUCAUGAGGCUUUUUCUUGGUUGGCAACGUGCUUAAAAAAGAAAGAAAUGCAAAUGGGCAUUUCCACGUGACUGUAUUCUGCUCAGUGCAGUGUCUGCCUGUGUUGCAGACUGAGCUCCGUGGCAUUGCAAAGAAUGCACCAAAGGUUCCCGUAUUUCUAGCGGUUGUCAGGGCGGUGGCUCAUGACAUCGUAAGGCCGUGGCGAUGUGACGUCAAGAUGUGGCCGUUGUAUGAAGUAAGUUUGUGGUUGCUGUGAAGCUGGGAGGAAUGUUGACUGCCUUGGGGGUUGAGAGGCCUUGCAGCAAGAUGUGGAGAAAUGUGAGGGUGGUCCCCAUCUGCACGAAGAAGAGCAAGCGCUGCGUUCUGCACCUGGGAUGCGGCAGCCCUGGCUAUAAGCCCUCAGCAAACAGUCGUCCUGUUCCACUUUUGGCCAGUCUCAGAUGCUUGUCUUCCAGAAUGUCUGCGUGUGGAUGAAUCACAACAGGAUCCUGGGAACUUUUAAGAAAGGUAGGAAGGAGGAACCGGGGAACUACAGGCUGGUGAGCCUCACCUCUGUGCCUGGGAAGAUCAUGG
rnacentral:lncRNA from 1 species